rnacentral:rRNA from 1 species
AUUGAACGCUGGCGGCAGGCCUAACACAUGCAAGUCGAGCGGAUGAAGGGAGCUUGCUCCUGGAUUCAGCGGCGGACGGGUGAGUAAUGCCUAGGAAUCUGCCUGGUAGUGGGGGAUAACGUCCGGAAACGGGCGCUAAUACCGCAUACGUCCUGAGGGUGAAAGUGGGGGAUCUUCGGACCUCACGCUAUCAGAUGAGCCUAGGUCGGAUUAGCUAGUUGGUGGGGUAAAGGCCUACCAAGGCGACGAUCCGUAACUGGUCUGAGUGGAUGAUCAGUCACACUGGAACUGAGACACGGUCCAGACUCCUACGGGAGGCAGCAGUGGGGAAUAUUGGACAAUGGGCGAAAGCCUGAUCCAGCCAUGCCGCGUGUGUGAAGAAGGUCUUCGGAUUGUAAAGCACUUUAAGUUGGGAGGAAGGGCAGUAAGUUAAUACCUUGCUGUUUUGACGUUACCAACAGAAUAAGCACCGGCUAACUUCGUG